GCUAUGCCCGAUCUCGUCUGAUCUCGGAAGCUAAGCAGGUUUGGGCCUGGUUAGUACUUGGAUGGGAGACCGCCUGGGAAUACCAGGUGCUGUAAGCUUUUUGGACAUUUUUCACUUAGUAUAUAAUAAUUUUGCCAAAAAAUAGAGUCAAUGCCCGAUCUCUGAAUAUUAGCAGGUUUGGGCCUGGUUAGUACAUGGAUGGGAGAUUGCUUGGGAAUACCAGGUGCUUUAAUCUUUUUGGAAAAUUUCACGAAUUAUAUAAUAAUCUUUCAUUAAAAAAAAAAAAAAAAAGAGUCAAUGCCCGAUCUCUGAAUCUUAGCAGGUUUAGGUCUGGUUAGUACUUUGAUGAGAGACUGCCUAGGAAUACCAGGUGCUUUAAGCUUUUGGGUUUUCUUUCCUACUUAUAUAAUGUACUGGCGAUUAGAUUGGCUGGUCUUUAAAUAGCCCUCUCAUUGCAGCAGUCUUCGCUUACGGCCAUACCAACCUG
rnacentral:rRNA from 1 species